rfam:Oryza rufipogon genomic scaffold, chr11
AAAAAGGCAAAUCCUGGAUUUUCGUGUCCAACUUUAACUAUCCGUCUUAUACGAUUUUUUUUAUAAUUCAUAUUUUCAUUGUUGUUAGAUGAUAAAACAUGAUUAAUAUUUUAUACGUGACUUGUCUUUUUAAACUUUUUUUAUAAUUUUUUUAAAUAAGACGGACGGUUAAACUUUGGACACGGAAACCAGGGUUUAUCUUUUU